AUGUAGUCCCACAAAGGAUCUGUGGUGGCACAGGACAACCGGGCUCCUGCCAGUAACAGGGAAACUGACACAGUGGAACUGGCUGGACUGGGACCCCUGCUAGAAGAGAAAGGCAAGCGAGUAAUUGCCAACCCAACCAAAGCUGAAGAAGAGCAAACAUGCCCAGUGCCCCAGGACGAGGAGGAAGAGGCGGGUACUGACACUUCCCCUGCAAGCCCACCAGGCCAUGGAGAAGCUGGAGGCGUUUGUGUCUAAGGUCUGGGAGGGACACUGGAGAGUCAUCCCAUAUGAUUGCUCCCUGACUGACUGAAGGACAAUGACUAUCUGCUACAUGGCCAUAGACCACCCAUGCCCUCCUUCCGGGCUUGUUUCAAGAGCAUCUUCCGCAUCCACACAGAAACUGGCAACAUCUGGAGCCAUCUGCUUGGUUUUGUGCUGUUUCUCUUUUUGGGAAUCUUGACCAUCCUUAGACCAAAUAUGUACUUCAUGGCCCCUCUACAGAAGAAGGUGGUUUUGGGGAUGUUCUUUUUGGGUGCAGUGCCCUGCCUCAGCUUCUCCUGGCUCUUCCACACUGUCUAUUGUCAUUCAGAGAAAGUCUCUCGGACUUUUUCCAAACUAGACUAUUCAGGGAUCGCUCUAUUGAUUAUGAGGAGCUUUGUCCCCUCGUUCUAUUACUCUUUCUACUGCUCCCCACAGCCACGGCUCAUCUACCUCUCUGUUGUCUGUGUCCUGGGCAUUUCUGCCAUCAUUGUGGCACAGUGGGACCGGUUCGCCACUCCUAAGCACCAGCAGACAAGAGCAGGAGUGUUCCUGGGACUUGGCUUGAGUGGUGUUGUGCCCACCAUGCACUUUACUAUCCCUGAGGGCUUUGUCAAGGCCACCACAGUGGGCCAGAUGGGCUGGUUCUUCCUCAUGGCUGUGAUGUACAUCACUGGAGCUGGCCUUUAUGCUGCUCGAAUUCCUGAGUGUUUCUUUCCUGGAAAAUUUGACAUAUGGUUCCAGUCUCAUCAGAUUUUCCACGUCCUGGUGGUGGCAGCAGCCUUUGUACACUUCUUUCUAGGGCCUGGAUCUGCAUACACAGCAGGAAGAAUAAAGCCACCAACUUUUACAUAGCCCGGCUAAUCAUGGAAGUGUGUCCAGGCUUAAAAUAACUUGAGUUUUAAUUUUUUUUUCUUGGCAGAGUAAUGUAAAAUUAAAGUGGGGAAAGAUAUUUAAUAUUUAAUACUAAGCUUUAAAAAGAAACAUGCUAUCAUUGCUAUGUAUCUUAAUGCAAAGACGAUGAUGAUAAUAAAAGAAAGUACAGAAGACACUUGGCAUUCAAA